UACGUAGGGGGCAAGCGUUGUCCGGAAUCAUUGGGCGUAAAGAGCGCGUAGGCGGUCCGGUAAGUCCGCUCUGAAAGUCCGGGGCUCAACCCCGGGAGGCGGGCGGAUACUGUCGGGCUAGAGUCCGGAAGAGGCGAGUGGAAUUCCUGGUGUAGCGGUGAAAUGCGCAGAUAUUAGGAGGAACACCAAUGGCGAAGGCAGCUCGCUGGGACGGUACUGACGCUGAGGCGCGAAAGCGUGGGGAGCAAACAGG
rnacentral:rRNA from 1 species